UACGAAGGGGGCUAGCGUUGUUCGGAAUUACUGGGCGUAAAGCGCGCGUAGGCGGCCCAAUAAGUUGGAAGUGAAAGCCCAGGGCUCAACCUUGGAAUUGCUUUCAAAACUAUUAGGCUAGAGUAUGGUAGGGGAUAGUGGAAUUCCUGGUGUAGGGGUGAAAUCCGUAGAUAUUAGGGGGAACACCAGAGGCGAAGGCGGCUAUCUGGACCAUUACUGACGCUAAUGUGCGAAAGCGUGGGGAGCGAACAGG
rnacentral:rRNA from 1 species